CGCCGCGCGCGGCGGGCGGGGCGGGGGCACGGGGGACCUACGGGAGGCAGCAGUGGGGAAUAUUGCACAAUGGGCGCAAGCCUGAUGCAGCCAUGCCGCGUGUAUGAAGAAGGCCUUCGGGUUGUAAAGCACCUUUUUAGCGGGGAGGAAGGCGAUAAGGUUAAUAACCCGUGUUCGGUUGACGUUACCCGCAGAAGUAGCACGUCU
rnacentral:rRNA from 1 species